rnacentral:lncRNA from 1 species
CUGAACAUCUUGUCCCAAUAUAAUGUUAAACCAUUGGCUUAAAUAGCCUCCCUAACUUGGGCUUCGUUUGUCACAAGACUUGGAAUGUUUCGGCGUUAAGCCUUGUCUUCGUUCCCCUUUCUUUUUACUAACGUCUAGACUUCAAGUGAGUUCACUUAUGAAUGAAUUCUUCUCCCUCAUGUAUAUAUAAUGUUUAAGCUAAGCACACAGGUGACUCACCUGCUAGCUCCCUAAGUUCCAUAAGCAUGUCAAUGUUUUUUUUCCGUUUAAGGCCACAGUCUCUAAAUAGACUUCCAUAUAGUGCCCCAAUCUAAC